CCUUGAAAGACAGGGUCCUGAAAAAGGGACGUUUCUUUCUUUUUUUCGUUGCUGAGUUUGUGUAUGUGUGCGCGCGUUGGAAGUGUUGACAUCUUGCACAUGUCCACUGCUCUUGUUUAAUGCUUGGAGGUUCGCGAGGAGUAGGCUCCCCAUAUCAGAUUUUUUGGACUUCCUGGCUACAUGCACAUUAAGUCAGUAUAGCUACAACAUUUGUGCCUAGCAUGCUAAUUUGGUUUUAGGCUAUAGCCAAAUAUACUGCAAAGGCAACGGACCGCUACAAAGGAUUGGGACACAAACUCGUUGGCUCAGUUCUGGGAUUUCUACCCUGCCCGUCGCAGUGUCAGUUAAAUCUCCUUGGAGAAAAAAUGUUUUCAAUUGUAAACCGACUGAAACCUGCUCUGGCCUACACGCUGCGCCUCCAAACAACCGGGCACUUGCGUAAAGUUCCAGCCCACAUGGGCCCGGGCUUACGCACCAGCAAGCAGCCUCUGGAAUCAGUCAUCAUACGACCUUACUGCGCCAGGAUGGAGUUGGGAAAAGGGCCUUUCUUCAGGCAGCUGUUUGAGUCGGUGAGCAGCACCUACACCUAUCUGCUGGCUGAUACAGAGAGCAGGGAGGCAGUCCUCAUUGAUCCCGUACUGGAGACAGUGGACAGGGAUCUGAAACUCAUAGAGGAACUGGGUUUCAACCUGAAAGUUGCAGUGAACACUCACUGCCAUGCAGACCACAUCACAGGCACGGGACAGCUGAAGAACAGGCUGUUUGGGAUGAAGAGUGCCAUCUCCAAGCACAGCGGGGCCAGUGCAGACAUCCUGCUAUCAGAGGGAGAUAAGAUCAGCUUUGGCAAACAUUGUCUGACGGUGAGGGAGACUCCAGGACACACAGACGGCUGUGUGACGUUGGUGACAGGGGACCAGAGCAUGGCUUUCACUGGGGACACAUUGCUAAUCAGGGGCUGUGGAAGGACAGACUUCCAGCAGGGCUGCUCUAGGAGGCUCUAUGAAUCAGUCCACCAGAAGAUCUUUACAUUACCUCCUCAGUGUCUCGUCUUCCCUGCACAUGACUACAAAGGUCUGCUAACCCUGUGCUGCAGGUCAGACGGCCUCCACCGUGGGCGAGGAGAGGAGGUUUAACCCCCGCCUGACCAAGAGCGUGGAGGAGUUUGUGGACAUCAUGACCAACCUGAACCUCCCCAAGCCUGCUAAGAUAGAAUUUGCGGUGCCUGCAAACCUGGUGUGUGGACUCCAUGAGGUUUGAAUGUCAAAAAGAUUUUUAGGAUUUCACUUUAAGCACUAUUGGGAGGAAGAGGGAAAUUCUUUUCACCCGGCCACAACUUAAUGUUUUAAAUGCAAUAUUUUGUUUCUAAGAAGUAACCAAAACUAAAGUUUGUCAACAAAUGUAAGAAUGUAUAUAUUUUAUUUCCAAUAUGAACAUAAAUUCCUCCUUGUUUGCCUAUGGGGAAAAAAGCAGUGUUCAUGAUUUGGUGGGUGUACAGAUACUGAAAUUGUAUAGUAGAAGAUGCAUUCAAAUACAUGAUCAUAAAACAUUCUAAUACAAUCUCCUGGAGAAAUGUAAACAGUAAAAUGACCUAGUUUUAUAUUAAAUCAACAUUGUUCAAAUGUAAA